rnacentral:rRNA from 1 species
CCUACGGGCGGCUGCAGUGGGGAAUAUUGGACAAUGAGGGCAACCCUGAUCCAGCCAUGCCGCGUGUGUGAAGAAGGCCCUCGGGUUGUAAAGCACUUUCAGUGAGGAAGAACGCCUGGUGGUUAAUACCCAUCAGGAAAGACAUCACUCACAGAAGAAGCACCGGCUAACUCCGUGCCAGCAGCCGCGGUAAUACGGAGGGUGCGAGCGUUAAUCGGAAUUACUGGGCGUAAAGCGCGCGUAGGUGGCUUGAUAAGCCGGUUGUGAAAGCCCCGGGCUCAACCUGGGAACGGCAUCCGGAACUGUCAAGCUAGAGUGCAGGAGAGGAAGGUAGAAUUCCCGGUGUAGCGGUGAAAUGCGUAGAGAUCGGGAGGAAUACCAGUGGCGAAGGCGGCCUUCUGGACUGACACUGACACUGAGGUGCGAAAGCGUGGGUAGCAAACAGGAUUAGAUACCCCGGUAGUC